GCCUUUGGUAGGUAUAGAGUUUACGUCAUCCCCCUCUCGGUUUCCUAAACCGCAGGUCGGAGGUUCGAUUCCUCCCGGGGGCA
rnacentral:tRNA from 1 species